rnacentral:rRNA from 1 species
CCUACGGGAGGCUGCAGUGGGGAAUAUCGCACAAUGGGCGCAAGCCUGAUGCAGCCAUGCCGCGUGUGUGAAGAAGGCCUUCGGGUUGUAAAGCACUUUCAGCGGGGAGGAAGGCGUUAAGGUUAAUAACCUUGGCGAUUGACGUUACCCGCAGAAGAAGCACCGGCUAACUCCGUGCCAGCAGCCGCGGUAAUACGGAGGGUGCAAGCGUUAAUCGGAAUUACUGGGCGUAAAGCGCACGCAGGCGGUCUGUCAAGUCGGAUGUGAAAUCCCCGGGCUCAACCUGGGAACUGCAUUCGAAACUGGCAGGCUAGAGUCUUGUAGAGGGGGGGAGAAUUCCAGGUGUAGCGGUGAAAUCCGUAGAGAUCUGGAGGAAUACCGGUGGCGAAGGCGGCCCCCUGGACAAAGACUGACGCUCAGGUGCGAAAGCGUGGGGAGCAAACAGGAUUAGAUACCCUUGUAGUC